UGAACGCGAAGAACCUUACCUACUCUUGACAUCCAGAGAAUUUGCCAGAGAUAGCUUAGUGCCUUCGGGAACUCUGAGACAGGUGCUGCAUGGCUGUCGUCAGCUCGUGUUGUGAAAUGUUGGGUUAAGUCCCGCAACGAGCGCAACCCUUAUCCUUUGUUGCCAGCACGUAAUGGUGGGAACUCAAAGGAGACUGCCGGUGAUAAACCGGAGGAAGGUGGGGAUGACGUCAAGUCAUCAUGGCCCUUACGAGUAGGGCUACACACGUGCUACAAUGGCAUAUACAAAGAGAAGCGAACUCGCGAGAGCAAGCGGACCUCAUAAAGUAUGUCGUAGUCCGGAUUGGAGUCUGCAACUCGACUCCAUGAAGUCGGAAUCGCUAGUAAUCGUAGAAUCAGAAGU
rnacentral:rRNA from 1 species